GAAGAAUUAGUUAAACAUAACAUCAGAAUGUCAAACUGAAAUUAUCUAAAAAUAGAUAUUCUUCU
rnacentral:tRNA from 1 species